rnacentral:rRNA from 1 species
GCAACGGGUGCGCAACGCGUAUACAAACCUGCCCCCCGCUGGGGGAAUAGCCCAGAGAAAUUUGGAUUAACGCCCCAUGGCAACUCCGCACGGCAUCGUGCGGGGUUCAAAGGACACGGCGGGGGAUGGGUAUGCGUCCCAUUAGCUAGUUGGUGCGGUAACGGCGCACCAAGGCGACGAUGGGUAGGGGUCCUGAGAGGGAGAUCCCCCACACUGGUACUGAGACACGGACCAGACUCCUACGGGAGGCAGCAGUGAGGAAUAUUGGACAAUGGGCGGAAGCCUGAUCCAGCCAUGCCGCGUGCAGGAAGACGGCCCUAUGGGUUGUAAACUGCUUUUGUACGGGAAGAACAAGGGCCACGCGUGGCCCUCUGACGGUACCGUAAGAAUAAGGAUCGGCUAACUCCGUGCCAGCAGCCGCGGUAAUACGGAGGAUCCGAGCGUUAUCCGGAAUCAUUGGGUUUAAAGGGUCCGUAGGCGGGCCGUUAAGUCAGGGGUGAAAGUCUGCAGCUCAACUGUAGAACUGCCCUUGAUACUGACGGCCUUGAGUUGCGGUGAAGUGGCCGGAAUAUGUAGUGUAGCGGUGAAAUGCAUAGAUAUUACAUAGAACACCGAUUGCGAAGGCAGGCCACUAACCGCACACUGACGCUGAUGGACGAAAGCGUGGGGAGCGAACAGGAUUAGAUACCCUGGUAGUCCACGCCGUAAACGAUGGAUACUAGCUGUCCGUCCGCUUCAGGCGGAUGGGCGGCCAAGCGAAAGUGAUAAGUAUCCCACCUGGGGAGUACGUCCGCAAGGAUGAAACUCAAAGGAAUUGACGGGGGCCCGCACAAGCGGUGGAGCAUGUGGUUUAAUUCGAUGAUACGCGAGGAACCUUACCAGGGCUUAAAUGGGGGGCGACAGGCGCAGAGAUGCGCCCUUCUUCGGACGCCCUUCAAGGUGCUGCAUGGUUGUCGUCAGCUCGUGCCGUGAGGUGUCAGGUUAAGUCCUAUAACGAGCGCAACCCCCUGUGGUCAGUUGCCAGCGGG